rnacentral:sRNA from 12 species
UUAUAUUGCAGAUAGGAAAGGGAUUCACCAAAAAUGGUUUGUCCUUUUUUUAUGUCAAUUUCUAUGCUGUAUAUCUGUGUCACUGAAUGAAAGUUUAAGCGUUAUAUAAGAACGCCAGCCACAGAGCCACCAAUCAGGUGGUAUUUUUUUUG